GGGAGGACCAGGCAAAUCCGGGCCUCAUAUACUCUGAGACGUGAUACCGAGCCGCUUCAGGCGAAGUCAUUAAUCCUAUGCUGCCUAGAAAAGCCCAGUAGCGAGUUGACAUGGUGCCCGUACCCCAAACCAACACAGGUGGACAGGUAGAGCAUACCAAGGCGAGUGGGAUAACUAUGGUUAAGGAACUCGGCAAAUUUCCUCCGUAACUUCGGGAUAAGGAGGACCCCAGUAGCGUGACGAGACUUGCUCUCCGAGCGUGAAGGGGUGGCACAAAAUUGAGGGAAGCGACUGUUUACCAAAAACACAGCAGCGUGCUAAGCCGUAAGGCGCUGUAUACGCUGUGACUCCUGCCCGGUGCUGGAAGGUUACGGGGAUGGGUUAGCCCUUUGGGACGAAGCUCUGAACCUAAGCCCCAGUAAACGGCGGCCGUAACUAUAACGGUCCUAAGGUAGCGAAAUUCCUUGUCGGGUAAGUUCCGACCUGCACGAAUGGAGUAACGACUUCCCUACUGUCUCAACCAUAGACCCAGCGAAAUUGAAGUACGAGUAAAGAUGCUCGUUAGCUGCAGAAGGACGGAAAGACCCCGUGGACCUUUACUAUAACUUGAUGUUGUGUUUUGUCAUAUGUUGUGUAGGAUAGGUGGGAGACAAGGAAGCAUGGACGCUAGUCUGUGUGGAGUCAUCGUUGAAAUACCACCCUGCAUAUGGUGAGGCUCUAACCUAGACCCGUUAUCCGGGUUGGGGACAGCGUCAGGCGGGUAGUUUAACUGGGGCGGUUGCCUCCUAAAGAGUAACGGAGGCGCCCAAAGGUUCCCUCAGCCUGGUUGGCAAUCAGGCGUCGAGUGCAAUGGCAAAGGGAGCUUGACUGCGAGACCUACAAGUCGAGCAGGAGCGAAAGCUGGGCAUAGUGAUCCGGCGGUUGCGUGUGGAAGCGCCGUCGCUCAACGGAUAAAAGGUACCCCGGGGAUAACAGGCUAAUCUUGCCCAAGCGUCCAUAGCGACGGCAAGGUUUGGCACCUCGAUGUCGGCUCAUCGCAUCCUGGGGCUGAAGCAGGUCCCAAGGGUUGGGCUGUUCGCCCAUUAAAGCGGUACGCGAGCUGGGUUCAGAACGUCGUGAGACAGUUCGGUCCCUAUCCUCUGUAGCCGUAGGUGAAUUGAGGAAAGCUGUCCCUAGUACGAGAGGACCGGGACGGACGCAGCUCUCGUGUGCCAGUUGUCCUGCCAAGGGCAUGGCUGGUUAGCGACCUGCGGAAAGGAUAACCGCUGAAAGCAUCUAAGCGGGAAGCCUCUUCCAAGAUGAAUUCACCCACAGGGUUAACCUGGUAAGGCCCGUGGUAGACCACCACGUUGAUAGGCCGGAAGUGUAAGCGUGGCAACACGUUCAGCUGACCGGUACUAAUCGGC
rnacentral:rRNA from 1 species